GUGUGCACAGGCGUUCAAGGUUCAAUUGAUCCUCGAGCACAAAGCCUUCAUACAACACCGCGGUUGAGGCGCGUCAAAUCUGAUGACAUCUUUCCUGAACCAAGCAGGCUGAACACGCGAACCACCACGGGCUCCAGCGCGGUGUGAAGCGGAAAGAAGAAAAGACAAAAUUGAAAACAGCCGCGCCAGGCUUCCAACCACCGUGUGUGUGUAUGUAAGUAUGUGAGAACACAUGUGUGAAUCCUCUUGUGGGAACUGCAAAAAGAAGAUAAUAAAGAGUGUGAAGCAGCUAGACUGCCGCAACCAAA